ACGCUGGCGGCGUGCUUAACACAUGCAAGUCGAGCGAUGAAGCACCUUCGGGUGUGAAUUAGCGGCGAACGGGUGAGGAACACGUGAGAAAUCUGCCUUCAACACUGGGAUAACUCCGGGAAACCGGGGCUAAUACCGGAUAUGAAACCUGCGGGCAUCCGCGGGUUUGGAAAGUUUUUCGGUUGAAGAUGAUCUCGCGGCCUAUCAGCUUGUUGGUGAGGUAAUGGCUCACCAAGGCGACGACGGGUAGCCGGCCUGAGAGGGCGACCGGCCACACUGGGACUGAGACACGGCCCAGACUCCUACGGGAGGCAGCAGUGGGGAAUAUUGGGCAAUGGAGGAAACUCUGACCCAGCGACGCCGCGUGCGGGAUGAAGGCCUUCGGGUUGUAAACCGCUUUCAGCAGGGAAGAAGCGAAAGUGACGGUACCUGCAGAAGAAGCACCGGCUAGCUAUGUG
rnacentral:rRNA from 1 species